UCCUGGUGGCUCAGAUGGUAAAGAGUCUGCCUGCAAUGUAGGAGACCCAGGUUCGAUCCCUGGAUUGGGAA
rfam:TPA: Bos taurus chromosome 7, whole genome shotgun sequence.